rnacentral:rRNA from 1 species
GUGAGGAAUAUUGCGCAAUGGAGGCAACUCUGACGCAGCCAUGCCGCGUGCAGGAAGAAGGCGCUACGCGUUGUAAACUGCUUUUAACCGGGAAGAAACCCCAGGACGUGUCCUGGGUUGACGGUACCGGAGGAAUAAGCACCGGCUAACUUCGUGCCAGCAGCCGCGGUAAUACGAAGGGUGCAAGCGUUAUCCGGAUUCAUUGGGUUUAAAGGGUGCGUAGGCGGAGCGUUAAGUCAGUGGUGAAAUCCUGCAGCUUAACUGUAGACUUGCCAUUGAUACUGGCGCUCUUGAGUGCGCUUGAAGUGGGCGGAAUGUGCCGUGUAGCGGUGAAAUGCUUAGAUAUGGCACAGAACACCAAUUGCGAAGGCAGCUCACUAAGGCGAUACUGACGCUGAGGCACGAAAGCGUGGGGAUCGAACAGGAUUAGAUACCCUUGAGUCC